UACGUAGGUGGCAAGCGUUGUCCGGAAUUAUUGGGCGUAAAGCGCGCGCAGGCGGUUCCUUAAGUCUGAUGUGAAAGCCCACGGCUCAACCGUGGAGGGUCAUUGGAAACUGGGGGGCUUGAGUGCAGAAGAGGAGAGCGGAAUUCCAGGUGUAGCGGUGAAAUGCGUAGAGAUGGGGAGGAACACCAGUGGCGAAGGCGGCUCUCUGGUCGGUAACUGACGCUGAGGCGCGAAAGCGUGGGGAGCAAACAGG
rnacentral:rRNA from 1 species